AAAGCUAUUCUCAUCUUCCAAACUCUGAGACAAGACAUCCAGGGAAAAAAAUCACUGUCAGGACUGAGACAAGUUGUGGCAGAAGCUCCCACAUCACUGAAUCCUGAGCUGGAGGGACCCGGGAGACACCAGCAGUCAUUUUGCAGGAGAUACUGAUCAGCCAGACAAUGAACAUCUCUGAACUGUACUGAUCACUGUGGGGGAAGCCAGGUACCAGGUUGUGAGGAGAUGCAAGUAGCUCCUGGAGAAGCUCAUAUGAAGAGGAACUGAGGCCUCCUGCCAACGGUCAGCAGCAUAAAUGAUCACCAGAUUCCCAUCAUUCUUUGUGUGUAACACCCAUUAAACCAAAGCAAUUCUCCAAGACAAAGAAAAC